CGCCCGGCCGGAUCCCGUGGGGGGAAUCCGCUGUCGGGGAUAUGGGAAGCGCCCCGCCCGCCGAC
rnacentral:ncRNA from 1 species